AUGAUCUUCACAUCAGUUCCACGACUUUGUGAACAAGAAAUCUAUACACAUUCACUUGAACUGCACAUGCACACACACACUCUCAUAUACUCUUCACACACAGCUCACGCACUCACAUAUACUCCCAGACAUACACACCACACACAUUCACACACACACACCAACACACAUUCACACACACACCAACACACACUCACAUUCACACACACCAACACACACUCAUAUUCACACACACGCCAAACACCCAUUCACACACACCAACACACACAUACACCUCCAAACACAUUCACAUACCAACACAUUCACACACACAACACACACAUUCACAUGCACACACCAACACUCACAUUCACACACACCAACACACACUCACAUUCACACGCCAACACAUUCACAUUCACACACCAACACAUUCACACACACACCAACACACACAUUCACACACACCAACACACACACUCAUUCACACACACCAACACACAUUCACACGCACACCAACACACACAUUCACAUGCACACACCAAGCACACACACCAACACUCACAUUCACACACACCAACACACACACCAACACACACAUUCACACACCAACACACAUUCACACACACCAACACACAGUCACACACCAACACAUAUUCACACACACACCAACACAUAUUCACACACACAGCAAACAUAUUCACACACACAGCAACACACAUUCACACACACACCAACACACACAUUCACACACCAACACACAUUCACACCAAUACACACUCACAUUCACACACACCAACAUAUAUUCACACACCACACACGUUUCACACACACCAACACACACAUACACACACCAACACACACAUUCACUCACACCACACACUCUACAUUCACACACACACACCCCAACACACAUUCAUAUACACACACACCAACACACACUCACACAUUCACACACACCACACACAUUCACACACACACCAACACACACACAUACACACACCACACACAUACCACACACACACCAACACACACACAUUCACACACACCACACACAUACACACACACCAACACACUCACACACCAACACACACAUUCACACACACCACAUUCACACAGACCAACACACACACACCACACACAUUCUCACACACACACACCAACACACUCACAUUCACACACCACACACACCAACACACAUUCACACACACACACCAACACACACAUUCACACACCACACCACCUGCUUAA
rnacentral:lncRNA from 1 species